CGGCCCGCUCGUCCGCCCCCCCCGCCACCAGGGCAGCCUCGGAGGGACCUGCUGCCCCUCCACAUCCCCUCUCCCCUUGGCAAGCGCUGGCCCAGCCCCCCGUCCUCCUGCCCUGGCCUCGCUUGCGCUCUUGUCUGAACUCCCUCAGCCCCCCUGGCCCUGGGGGGAGCUCCACAAAGCCCUGGCUGGGGUGGCCGGGGGGGCGCUGGUCCUGCUUUGAGCAGGGGUCGGCGUGGGCUUCUCAACCCACAAGUGAGUCGCGAGAAUAUAGGAAAGGAACCAACCUGAAACAUGGAUUCUCCUUUAACGAAGAAAAAGAGCUCUCAUGUUUAAGCUGAGCGGGCUUGCUCUACAGCACUGUGGACCCCACUGUUGGCAAAGGACACAUCCCCUCUUCAACUUCUUGUUUAUGUCUGGACCAGCAGUUGCCAGUGAUGACUGCCUGCCCCCUUACAACAGUUAGAGAAACACUUGAGCAUCCUCACAAUAAGAAGCAAGCAGCUACCCUGAGGUAAUGGAGAGGACUGUUAGAGUUGGGUAAAAUCCUGCCUGCCUACUCCACCUAGAACUACCGUCACACAAGAGUACCUGCAGCUGCUUUAUAUAACUAGUCCACUUGAAUCAGCACUGCUAACCUGGCUACCAGGGACAGGUUAUAUGCCCAGAGUGCAUAAGGCCUGGUUGAACACUCACGGGGCCAUCCAGCACAGCAAGCACUCAGCUUUCCUAAAAAUAUCCCCAAAUGCAGAUACACACAAACCAGUAGAAUCACCUUCCUCCAAGCACGGGAUCCACAGUUAUUACUCUGAAAACCUUCCUGUUUGCUGAUUCCUGGCCCCCGCAGAUGCAGAAACAUUGGCAUAUAGCUAAGCCUUGCAUGCUGUAUACAGGUGAGUAGACAGGUGUUUGGACUCUGCCAUGCUCACAUGGUCCCUUCCUAUUACAGCCAUUGCAUAAAGAGCAAAAGACACAGCACAGCCAUCCCAUGAGCCGAGCUGAGGGGGCAGCAGGGAAGUAGAGACCAGGGUAACUCCCAGAGGAGGGUUCUUCAGGGUGCUGUAGUUAGAGUGGGGGGGGGGGGUCCAUGGUGGCUCCAAGCUUUACUGAGUAGCACCUAUUAGAGCCACAUGUGCACCUUGUGCCUCUUCAUGUUCCUGUAUCAGGGCAUGGAGGGCAGGAAAGCUGUGACCUCCUUCAGUGCUGUCACAGCCUGAUGUCUGUGACCACAGGACUCUGAGAAGGUGAACAGUGGGAAAGGACAGGGACUUCCAAGAUGGAAACUUGUAAAAGAGAUGGUGAAGCUGAUCUGAACAGUGGGGAGAGAUGGACAGCAGUGGCAUGGGCACCCUCAGCACAGCUUCACUGCCUCCUUCCCAGGUUUGGCAUCUGGUACCCCUGGGAGCAGCAGGGGAGCAGUGUAGACAUACUACAGUACAUCCCCCUGUGCCUUGCAGAACUGAGCUGAGAAUAUCUAUUAUUUUUGUAACAAUUCUGUUUUUUCUUUGCCCAGGGCUCCAGCCAUUAGUGCAACCAGCCUUAAAAGGGUUUCCCCACAAUCACACAUCUGCUGGAAUAUCUGAUUUUUUUUCCAUUUCUGCUGUUCUGGCCAUCGACCAAAUGGCAUCUUUUGCCUUUGUCGGGGUUGCUACUCCUGGGGCACUUUUGUAGAGAGCCAACACAUGCAUUCCUGAGGUUCAUAGUAUAGUCCAUGAGCUCUUGAGGGAAGGGAACAUUUUAGUUGUCCUCUGGCCAGUGAGCUUCAUUCCCUGAAAAGGCAGAAUAUUAGCUGUGGUCUGCAUAUUGCAUGGUAUGUGCAAAGUCUGGAACCACUGCUGUGAACUCAGGUUCUACCCCGACAAAGGCAUGGGAGUCAGCAUGAAAUAUCUCACCUGACUAUCCAGGAGGCAGCCAACUGACAUUAUUCUCACAUAUUUUUUAAGGAACACCCAUUAAAUGCAAAUGCAAAGAUCAGGGGAUAAUAGGAAAGUAGGGCUGGGAUCAACCUCCUGAUGUCAUCUAGUCCAGCCCCCUGCUCAAACAGGAUCAUCCCUGACUAAACCAUCCCGAAUCAAGUAUCUGCCUAAUCUGCUCUAGCAUAUUCCAGGUAUGGAGAUUCUACAAUUUAUCUAAGUAAUCUGUUCUUGAAUGAUCAGUCACCCCCAUAGUCAGCAAGUUCCUCCUAAUCUCCAACCAAAAUUUCUUCUGCUUGAGUCCAUUGCUCCUACUCCGGUCCCCUACAGCCACAGAGAAAAUCCUAUCUUCAUCCUCUCUAUAAUUGCCCUUCAGGUACUUGAAGAUUUAUCAGAUUCCCUGCACAAGUGAGUUUGCUGCAUUCUCUCUUGUCAUAUAAUACAUGAGAUACUGCAUUUACUCAUAUGCCACAUAUACAGGCCUUGUUUUCGGAAGAGGCAAGGGUUUCUUAAGGUGAUAUCUUUUAUCGGACCAACUACGUAGUUAGUAUAAAUUUAGACAAGCUUUCAAAUGCAAGAUAUUCUUCAUCAGGUCUCUAAUCCAUUUUGGAAGGCAGAAUGCAGAAAAAAAGAUUUUUUUUCCAGAGCCAUGGCUUAGAACUGGCCUUUUCAUAGAGACACUGGGUUGCAAAAUGGUAGCCAGUUUCUCUCAGACAGCAAAUUGACUGCAGCUGUGAAAGGGUUAACACUGGGCUCUUCCCCUUCUGCUUGCUGUCCCACAGAGAAGGUGGCAGCCAAUUUGCAACAAAGUGUCUCUAUGCUUCUAUUCUAAUGAAGGAAAUCCACUCUGCUGCUUAAAAGAUACCCUCCCAGUUUGGAAGGCUAACUUUAGGGGGGAAAGAUGCACUGUGGCAUGUGAGUAAAUAUGGUAAUGGCACUGAGAGAGGGCUAUGCAGUCCCAGCCUUUAUGCCUGUGUAGGCACAGGGUACAUGUACGGCCCUGACAAACAUAUAGUUCAUGGGGCUUAGGUAUAUGUGUACCUUCCUUAGAACCAACUGGUUAUUACCUGAUUAUUCUUUCCCCUUCCCAUUUUCUUUAUGACAGCAUGGGAAAGGAAGAGCUGCACAGUUCUUGACUCAUUUGGAUUAAAGGCAUUUUUUGUUUCCUU